rnacentral:lncRNA from 1 species
UGGAGGGAUCAUCUGUGCCUCAGCUCCAUUAUUAGAUGUUCCAUCAAUUGAUCUGAGCCUUCUGAUCUCGCCAUCGCCCGCUGGAGUCGAGGAGCUCAAGAAACUUCAGUCAGCUCUCAAUUAUUGUGGUUGCUUUCAGGUUUGAUUUCAAAGCAAUAAUAAUCAUAAUCAAACAUAUUAGGAUAAAACUGUAUUACUUCAUUAGAUUUCACAAAGUUUUACUAUAGCUAUCGAUGUGCACAACUACAUUUCUUUACUUAGACGUGAGGCUUGUUGGAUGUGUGAAACUUUUCUUCUCGGCCACGGUUCGACCUUUGCAGAAUGGUUGGCCAGUGGUUGAUUAGUUGCCGAUAAACGAGUAAGAAUUGCCUCAACAAAAAUUUAAGGAAUUGGACUUAAAAAGCUCGAUUAGGUAUCAAUGGGACAAAAAGAUA